rnacentral:lncRNA from 1 species
CAAAUCUUAAAGAGUAACGCAGAAAAAAUCAUGAAAUCAUGAAUUGUAGGCUUUUCCUCGUGUCAUAGCCUCUGCAACUGGCGUCACACAAAUUCUACCAUUUGUUCCUAACACACAAUAUGAACCUUACUCAUUAAACUUUUGAUAAUUUAAAUCAUGUUGGAGCAGCCAUGAGUGUAUCUGAACUGGAAUUGUCUUAUAAUGUUGUAAAAUAAUGCACCUUUCUUUUUCAUAGGUGCUAACUGAAUUACGUCAUUUUGUUGACCAACACCACGCCAUUUUGUGAGUCACAACUUGUGACUCAUUCCCUUGUAACCUUAGAGAGAGUUCUCAGUGGAGGCGGUUGGUACCCUUAUACAUUCCCUUGCUGGACACAGUGUGCUAAAGAGAGAUGAGGAACUGCUGGAAACAUAGCAGGUCUCAUUGAGAAAAUAUAUAAUUUCAGUUACAAUAGUACAAUGCAAAAUGUGUGGUGGAAAUAUUUAUCAGGCUUUAGAGCAACAUUAGCCUUUGCUAUAUCUCCACUUCAUGUAAAUGGAAAAUCUCUGGAACUUCUUGUUGAGAAAUGAAGCCCUUGUGCAUAUUGCAUCAACCAAGGGCAAAAUGUUAACAUAUAGGCUAAUGUUACAACUCACGUAUGGUGAUUGUCCAUUCACACGAAGUCUGUAUGUUGGUACAGUUUAUCAUCAACAGGCAUAAGAGCAUGUUCGGGCAAUAAUUGUGGGAAAGUUUAGGUAGAUUCUUUGCUGCGUGAUAGCUCGGGCACGGCCCGGGAGUCGGAACGGGCAAUAUCGUUGUGCAUUAAGUUGGUGAACUCUUAAAGUGUUCCGUUGGAGUGUUUUUUUUUUCCCUGAUCUAUGGAGCCUGACAUUUGCCACAAUUUCUAUCGGCGGACAAUAUGUCUUUUAGGAUUGGUAGCAGCUUCGGUAGCAGUAGGUUCCAACAUCAUAUAACGUCUGCUUUAGUAAUGGCAGGGAUGUGAAUGAUAAUUUGUGAAAUCAAACAAGUUAAGCAGGUGCCUAGCUCAACAACUCCUAUGAAAUCUAGAUUGUUGGUGAGCAUUAUUGGACAUCUGUUCAGGUAACAGUUUCGUUUUUUAAUCCGCCAAGGAUUUAUGCGUUAUUGGAUCUACUGUGGAGCCUGAGUAGCAUACGCAAGUGGGCGUUCAUCUGCAUUCUUUAUCACCAAGCAGUUACAAAUAUGUUCUACACUGAUAAGCAUCUGAGGCAAAGGGCGAGCUGAACUAUAUAGUGCUAAAGCUAUCUCUCCUGUAGAACUCCUAUUUUUAUACGGUCUGCUGCUAAGGAGUGAGAAAUCUUUAUGUGGCCAACUAUUAAGACAUUGCUACACGUUACAAAAUACAAAGAUAGCACAAAAACGAGGCGAAGGCUGGGCAACCAUUAAGCGACGAACGAGGCUUGGACGCAGCAGGGGGUGAAGUGAAGGCGGAGCGAAGUUCUGAUAUGCCAUUCGGCACCAGGAUACUUUGCUGAGGCUUCAUUUUACUAUACUACUACGUAUACCACGAGAUCUUAUUCUAAGGCACCAAAAUACUGCACCACGGAACGCUGCCUAGUACCACUCUACUGCCUUGUACUACACUCUAGUUCCGGAAUACUAUCUCUACACAAGGUGGAAUACCAUAAUGCAAUCCGAGAAUUUCAGCCAUAAAGUAUCCCAGGAGUUGUCACGGCUGCAAAACCAAUUAAACUACCGCGUUUUAAAAAAAUUUAAACAUUCUUAAUAUGCAGCUAGGUGGGUUGUUGCUCUCCGAAGGCUAUUCGAUGCGUUAUACCAUUUCCUGAAAUGGAACAUUCAGAAAAUAUGGUAUAUGUUCGCAAAUUGUUAAGAUCUAUUCAGGGUGGUACCAUAAAGUAUGACUGUAGGAAAGGGUACGUAGGCUUCUAAAAGUGAAGAACAGCUAUGACGUCCUUGGUAAGCGGAAAAGGUACUCCUUAUUGAAGCGUCAGAUGACGGUUUUAAGAAUGAACUCUUUCCUUUGCUUUGCCCAAUGAAUCUGUGCUUGGAACUGGCAGGUGGCGUUUAGCAGUGGCACCCAAUCUUCAUUCUUAAAAUCCAGAGGUGUUCUUCACUUUUCAGGGGGAUGGAUUGAUGAGACUUGUUGAUUAAUCCAUGAAGAAUACCAAUACCUGGAUAAGUGGAGGUUCGUGAGCAGACGAACCACUGUAAGGGCCUUGCGCAGUCUAGCUGCAUCCAACUAGAUACUAGUAGAACCCAAAACAUUGUUUUGACAAGUACUGUCAUAUUUCGGUUGCAGGUUUUCACUAAAUACCAAACAUCUAGGGGAGAAAUAACUAACUCCGUAGAAUUUUAUGGGUAUGUCAGCUGUCCCGUCAGCUGUUCCCUUUCGCGUGGCUUCGUACAGAGGAUGGCUGCUGAAACGAACGUCUCUCUUCUUGAAAUUUUACCACCGAUUCCGUGUAUUUUGAGUUGCAUCUUGUGAAUUCAAUCAAUGCAGAGUUGUUCAAGGAGGAACAUGGUUUGGCUUUGCUAGCACGUUUUUCAUCUCCGUUAGUCUGAUAUACCCAUUUUGUUUCAAAGGUCUUUGGGAUGUACCUGAUGUACUGUGGUGGCCCCAAAAUUAUUUGAUGACUUGGUUCAAUCCAGGACUUGGUUUUCUAUGUAGUGGUUUACAGUUUUAAUUUGAAGAGAUCCUGGAGGCACCUGAUGUGUUUCAUAGGCUUUGGAGUCACUCGGUGACAGAAGAAAAUGCCACUAAUGUUAUGUUGUCAGUGUAAAUAAAACAUAUCCAGUAUCA